UACGGGGGGUGCGAGCGUUGUCCGGAAUCACUGGGCGUAAAGGGCGCGUAGGUGGUUUGAUAAGGGUGUGGUGAAAGUCCGGAGCUCAACUCCGGAUCUGCCGUGCCGACUGUCAAACUCGAGGGCUGUAGAGGCAGACGGAAUUCCGGGUGUAGCGGUGGAAUGCGCAGAUAUCAGGAGGAACACCGGUGGCGAAGGCGGGUCUCUGGGCAGUAACUGACGCUGAGGAGCGAAAGCGUGGGGAGCGAACAGG
rnacentral:rRNA from 1 species